rnacentral:rRNA from 1 species
UAGUCAACAUGCCCAGGGGACGUGGAUAACCUCGGGAAACUGAGGAUAAACCGCGAUAGGUCACUACUUCUGGAAUGGGUAAUGACCCAAACCUACAUGGCCCCUGGAUUGGACUGCGGCCGAUCAGGCUGUUGGUGAGGUAAUGGCCCACCAAACCUGUAACCGGUACGGGCUCUGAGAGGAGGAGCCCGGAGAUGGGCACUGAGACAAGGGCCCAGGCCCUAUGGGGCGCAGCAGGCGCGAAACCUCUGCAAUAGGCGAAAGCUUGACAGGGUUACUCUGAGUGAUUUCCGUUAAGGAGAUCUUUUGGCACCUCUAAAAAUGGUGCAGGAUAASGGGUGGGCAAGUCCGGUG